rnacentral:rRNA from 1 species
CACGUAGGCACCAAGCGUUGUCCGGAUUUAUUGGGCGUAAAGCGCUCGUAGGCGGUUCGGUAAGUCGGGUGUGAAAACUCUGGGCUCAACCCAGAGCCGCCACCCGAUACUGCUGUGACUCGAGUGCGGUAGGGGAGCGGGGAAUUCCUGGUGUAGCGGUGAAAUGCGCAGAUAUCAGGAGGAACACCAGUGGCGAAGGCGCCGCUCUGGGCCGUGACUGACGCUGAGGAGCGAAAGCGUGGGUAGCAAACAGG